rnacentral:rRNA from 1 species
AAUCAACGCUGGCGGCGUGCCUCAGACAUGCAAGUCGAACGAUUAAAGCUCUCUUCGGAGAGUGCAUAGAGUGGCGCACGGGUGAGUAACACGUAAGUAAUCUACCUUCGAGUGGGGAAUAACGUCCGGAAACGGACGCUAAUACCGCAUAAUGCAGCGGCAUCGUAAGAUGACAGUUGUUAAAGAUUUAUCGCUUGAAGAGGAGCUUGCGGCAGAUUAGCUAGUUGGUAAGGUAAUGGCUUACCAAGGCUACGAUCUGUAACCGGUCUUAGAGGACGGUCGGUCACACUGACACUGAAUAACGGGUCAGACUCCUACGGGAGGCAGCAGUCGGGAAUUUUGGGCAAUGGGCGAAAGCCUGACCCAGCAACGCCGCGUGAAGGAUGAAGUAUUUCGGAUGUAAACUUCGAAAGAAUAGGAAGAAUAAAUGACGGUACUAUUUAUAAGGUCCGGCUAACUACGUGCCAGCAGCCGCGGU